GAGCACCGGUACCUAAGAGACAAAGAGCUACUGACAGAGCCUUCAAAGGGCCACAAAGGCGAUGAGCGGUCUGGCACAUCUCUAACGAGGAGAGACUGAGGGAGCUGGGCCUGUUGAGUCUAGAGAGGAAAAGACAGAAGGGAUCUGAGCAAUACAUAAAAAUAUUGCAAAGAAUAUUGUCCAUUAGAGGACUGGCAUAUAUGGAAGAAAACAUGGGCCAAAAGUUUCUUGAAAGUCUGUGUAAUGCAACGACAGAGUGAAACACGGUUGGCUCCAAUAAAUGCUCAUCAGUGUUGAA